rnacentral:piRNA from 1 species
CAGAAGCACAUUACUCUCCAUUGCUACGGAC